CACAAAUCGAAAGACAAAAGGAAAAACCCAAAACCCAAAAUCGAGAAGAAAAUGGAGGACAACAAGCAUUUACCUUGCUUAAAGGAAGAUGGUCAAUAGAACUUCCCAUUUCGAACACCGACAACAGCGACAAUGAAGACGAGAAUGAAGACGCACAACACAGGGACAAAGAAGACGCACAGUGAGAAAGAAAACGAAGAGGGAGAAGGAAAUCGAAGAGAGAACCUUCGUUUCUAAUGAAAGAGGGCAAGGGUAUAAUUGGAAUUCGAAUUUUCAGAAACCUUCCUCAUUUACGUUGUCAUAUUUUAUUAAUAAAACUAAAAACAAAAAUGACCAAUGACAAGUUAACAAUUGGCAUUAUCAAAUGUGUGUUAAAAAUGCGUUGUUAAAAUAACGGGACCCAUCGCCAAAUUUAUGUAACCUCUUCCGUCCUUUGGAUGCAAUCACUUUCUUCCAAUCAGUCCCACCAUCACUUUCAUGUGCCUCAUUUUAUUCGCUUCUCCUUCAUGUGCCUCAUUUUAUUCGCUUCUCCUUCAUGUGCCCCAUCACUUCUUCUACUAACCUAAGAAAACAUUCUCACCCCAAAAAAUACUCUCACUUAAAUCAUAUACCCUUGCCACCAACACAUUCCUCUAUGAAAAUGAAUGUCCACGAACCAUACAAGGCAGUAGUAUCAACCAUUUUCCACCAUAACUUAACCACCUACCCUUACUCAAUGUUCUCACACACUACUUCAUAGAAUAUAGAAAUUCCAAAGUUAGUUCCUAAAACAUGUAACCCUACAUAAAAAAAGAUCUUUAUGCCUUUACCCAUGUUCACUAUACCUCUCGGUUUCAUCAACACAGUUUUUUUCUACCCACAUAAACAACAACCCAUCACACAUACACCCUAUGCACCCACGUCCACGGUACUCACCAAUGAGAUCAAACAUCAUGUGAUUUCAUACAACCAAAAUCAAUUAUGCACAUAAAACUUAACUCCCCUUACACAUAUAUCCAUUCCCAUCAUUUAAAGAAUCAUAACCAAACACAACAACAAAGCAAUGUCAGUUCCUCUUGCCUUUUUGGAUUCAAACCUCCAAUGUUUUUGACUCCAAAGUUGCCUAGCAAGAAGCUUCUCCCUCGUGACAAUGCCUCUCCUUCUGGUGGCAACAUCUCUCCUUCGCAUUCUCCCCCUUUCUCAUGUUCAGAUGCAAAGCCAAAACCUAAGGAUCCUCCACUUUCUUCUCAAAGGCUCAAAGAUUGUGUAUCGGUGGGUUCGAGGGCUUUCUUUUCCCUCUCCCAUGGCUAUGGUGCUAUCCUUCCAAUUCUAACCUAACCACCCUGAAACCUCUCUCACAAUUGGGCCCUGACACUUGGGCUCUAACUCUUGUUGAGAUGCCCAACUUGAAGGGUGUUAGUUACCCUAUUAAACUCCUCCAUUAACUAAGAUUUCCCACUUUUAAACCUAAAAAAUAAAACCGAAUAACUUCCCCUAAUAAACAUAAAGUGGAAACCGUUAUUUUCCCAAAAGACUCACUGCAACCAUGUUCACUUUUGACACUACACUAUACUUGUUUCUUUCGUGCUUGCAUGUCAUGAAAAAUAUAAAAAGAAACAUUUUCUCUCCUUGAAACAAAUUAAAAACCAUGCAUUCAUUUUUUAAAUAAUAAGAUUCUCUCAUUAAUCAAUACACCAAUUUUCGUCUCUUCAAAAAUUAAAACUCAUUUACAUAACCAUCUUUUAAUUAUGCUUCUCUCUCUUUGAUUCAAACUCAUGCACCAUUCUUACGUAAAAGUAUCUCUCUGCAUUUAAUUCUCCCAAUCUUUUCUCUCUCUGCACUUAAUUCUCCCAACCAAGCUCCUUCUCUUUCUUUAGUGUGGGUCCCACACUACCAUUGCUAAUCAAAAGAAAAGAUAAGCAACAUAUGUCCCUCCAAGGUUCAAACUCAUGACCUUGUAACACGCCC
rnacentral:lncRNA from 1 species